GAUGAACGCUGGCGGCGUGCCUAAUACAUGCAAGUCGAGCGAACAGAUGAGGAGCUUGCUCCUCUGACGUUAGCGGCGGACGGGUGAGUAACACGUGGAUAACCUACCUAUAAGACUGGGAUAACUUCGGGAAACCGGAGCUAAUACCGGAUAAUAUAUUGAACCGCAUGGUUCAAUAGUGAAAGACGGUUUUGCUGUCACUUAUAGAUGGAUCCGCGCCGCAUUAGCUAGUUGGUAAGGUAACGGCUUACCAAGGCAACGAUGCGUAGCCGACCUGAGAGGGUGAUCGGCCACACUGGAACUGAGACCCGGUCCAGCCUCCUCCGGGAGGCAGCAGUAGGGAAUCUUCCGCAAUGGGCGAAAGCCUGACGGAGCACCGCCGCGUGAGUGAUGAAGGUCUUCGGAUCGUAAAACUCUGUUAUUAGGGAAGAACAAAUGUGUAAGUAACUAUGCACGUCUUGACGGUACCUAAUCAGAAAGCCACGGCUAACUACGUG
rnacentral:rRNA from 1 species